rnacentral:rRNA from 1 species
GAUGGCUCUAGUAACGGCGAGUGAAGCAGCCAAAGCUCAAAUUUGAAAGCUCCUAACAAGGCGCAUUGUAAUUUGAAGAUGGUAUUCCGAGUUAGUCCUUUACCUCAGUUCCUUGGAACAGGACGCCAUAGAGGGUGAGAGCCCCGUGUGGUAUUGGUAACUUUCUCAUGUGGUUUACCUUCGAAGAGUCGAGUUGUUUGGGAAUGCAGCUCUAAGUGGGUGGUAAAUUCCAUCUAAAGCUAAAUAUUGGCGAGAGACCGAUAGCGAACAAGUACUGUGAAGGAAAGAUGAAAAGAACUUUGAAAAGAGAGUGAAAAAGUACGUGAAAUUGUUGAAAGGGAAGGGAAUUGGACUAGACUUGGAUUUCUGUUAUCAGCAGUCUCUCGGGGCUGUGCACUAGCAGUUUUCUAGGCCAGGAUCUGUUUGGAGGCCAGGAUAAAACCCAAAGAAUGUGGCUCUUCGGAGUGUUAUAGCUUUGGUUGAAUACUGGCAUUCUGGACAGAGGACCGCGCUUCGUGCUAGGAUCCUGGCGUAAUAGUCCUAUUCCACCCGUCUUGAA